rnacentral:rRNA from 1 species
CCUACGGGAGGCAGCAGUGGGGAAUUUUGGACAAUGGGCGCAAGCCUGAUCCAGCCAUGCCGCGUGCGGGAAGAAGGCCUUCGGGUUGUAAACCGCUUUUUAGAGACCUGCGGUACCUGAAGAAUAAGCACCGGCUAACUACGUGCCAGCAGCCGCGGUAAUACGUAGGGUGCGAGCGUUAAUCGGAAUUACUGGGCGUAAAGCGUGCGCAGGCGGUUAUGCAAGACAGAUGUGAAAUCCCCGGGCUUAACCUGGGAACUGCAUUUGUGACUGCAUGGCUAGAGUGCGGCAGAGGGGGAUGGAAUUCCGCGUGUAGCAGUGAAAUGCGUAGAUAUGCGGAGGAACACCGAUGGCGAAGGCAAUCCCCUGGGCCUGACUGACGCUCAUGCACGAAAGCGUGGGGAGCAAACAGGAUUAGAUACCCUUGUAGUC